UACGGAAGGCAGCAGUGGGGAAUAUUGCACAAUGGGCGCAAGCCUGAUGCAGCCAUGCCGCGUGUAUGAAGAAGGCCUUCGGGUUGUAAAGUACUUUCAGUCGUGAGGAAGGUGUUAAGGUUAAUAACCUUAGCAAUUGACGUUAGCGACAGAAGAAGCACCGGCUAACUCCGUGCCAGCAGCCGCGGUAAUACGGAGGGUGCGAGCGUUAAUCGGAAUUACUGGGCGUAAAGGGCACGCAGGCGGUUAAUUAAGUUGGAUGUGAAAUCCCCGGGCUUAACCUGGGAAUGGCAUUCAAGCUGGUUAGCUAGAGUCUUGUAGAGGGGGUAGAAUUCCAUGUGUAGCGGUGAAAUGCGUAGAGAUGUGGAGGAAAUCCGGUGGCGAAGGCGGCCCCUGGACAAAGACUGACGCUCAUGUGCGAAAGCGUGGGGAGCAAACG
rnacentral:rRNA from 1 species